rnacentral:rRNA from 1 species
AAGCUAUCUUCGGAUAGUGGAGACCGGCAGACGGGUGAGUAACACGUGGGAACAUACCUAGUGGUGGGGGAUAACAGUUGGAAACGACUGCUAAUACCGCAUACGCCCUUCGGGGGAAAGAUUUAUCGCCAUUAGAUUGGCCCGCGUUAGAUUAGCUAGUUGGUAAGGUAACGGCUUACCAAGGCGACGAUCUAUAGCUGGUUUGAGAGGAUGAUCAGCCACACUGGGACUGAGACACGGCCCAGACUCC